rnacentral:lncRNA from 1 species
UUGGAUUUCAGACCAGAUGAUGUCAAAUGAGGAUUAGUCUCUGAUAAACAACUGUGAAUUGAGUCUUGUCUUUCUUGGUGACACGAACUUCUUCUUUACGAUAAGAGUUGAACGAAGAAUCGAAAGGAGGAUAUUUUUGUUGGCUUUGGCUGCAAAUAACCGAGAAUGAGACUUUGGGAUAGUUUAUGGACUUGGUUUUACUGCAAAUGAAUAGAUUGAUGGGAAUAAGAGGGUUUGAGCUUAACUAUUAUUCUGUCCAAUUCCUAAUAGUUGUGCUUAAGGAACUGCUUACCUUGUUCGAUUACUGCGAGAAUUCCAUCUUCAGAGCAAAUUAUAACAGGUAGAAUCUAUGUGAAAGAGAUGUUGCUAAUAUUCAAAGCAUAAACUUUUAGGGAUUUAGGGAAAACUUUUAAGAGAAAAUAAUUAAGGAUUUU